GCCAGUGUGGUGUAGUGGUUUGAGUGUUGGACUAUGGCUCUUGAGACCAGGGUUCAAAUCCCCAUCGGCC
rnacentral:tRNA from 1 species